rnacentral:rRNA from 1 species
UGGGGAAUUUUGGACAAUGGGGGCAACCCUGAUCCAGCAAUGCCGCGUGUGUGAAGAAGGCCUUCGGGUUGUAAAGCACUUUUGUCAGGAACGAAACGGUCUUGGUUAAUACCUGGGACUAAUGACGGUACCUGAAGAAUAAGCACCGGCUAACUACGUGCCAGCAGCCGCGGUAAUACGUAGGGUGCAAGCGUUAAUCGGAAUUACUGGGCGUAAAGCGUGCGCAGGCGGUUUUGUAAGACAGAUGUGAAAUGCCCGGGCUUAACCUGGGAACUGCAUUUGUGACUGCAAGGCUAGAAUCUGGCAGAGGGGGGUAGAAUUCCACGUGUAGCAGUGAAAUGCGUAGAUAUGUGGAGGAAUACCGAUGGCGAAGGCAGCCCCCUGGGCCAAGAUUGACGCUCAUGCACGAAAGCGUGGGGAGCAAACAGGAUUAGAUACCCUGGUAGUCCACGCCCUAAACGAUGUCUACUAGUUGUCGGGUCUUAAUUGACUUGGUAACGCAGCUAACGCGUGAAGUAGACCGCCUGGGGAGUACGGUCGCAAGAUUA